GAUGAAGAACGUAGCAAAAUGCGAUACUUGGUGUGAAUUGCAGAAUCCCGUGAACCAUCGAGUUUUUGAACGCAAGUUGCGCCCAAAGCCUUUUGGCCGAGGGCACGUCUGCCUGGGCGUCACGCAUCGCGUCGCCCCCCACAAUUCUUCGUAAAGGGAACAUGUGUUUUGGGGGCGGAUAUUGGUCUCUCGUGCUCAUGGCGUGGUUGGCCGAAAUAGGAGUCCUUUCGAUGGACGCACGAACUAGUGGUGGUCGUAAAAACCCUCGUCUUUUGUUUCGUGCUGUUGCUCGCAAGGUAAACUCUUUAAAAACCCCAAUGUGUCGUCUCUUGACGACGCUUCGACCGCGACCCCAGGUCAGGCGGGACUACCCGCUGAGUUUAAGCAUAUCAAUAAGCGGAGGA
rnacentral:misc_RNA from 1 species